UUGCCUCAGUAACGGCGAGUGAAGCGGCAACAGCUCAAAUUUGAAAUCUGGCCCCCUCGGGGUCCGAGUUGUAAUUUGGAGAGGAUGCUUCGGGUGUGGCCCCGGUCUAAGUUCCUUGGAACAGGACGUCACAGAGGGUGAGAAUCCCGUACGUGCCCGGUGGCCGCCCCCGUGUGAAGCUCCUUCGACGAGUCGAGUUGUUUGGGAAUGCAGCUCAAAAUGGGUGGUAAAUUUCAUCUAAAGCUAAAUAUUGGCCAGAGACCGAUAGCGCACAAGUAGAGUGAUCGAAAGAUGAAAAGCACUUUGGAAAGAGAGUUAAACAGUACGUGAAAUUGUUGAAAGGGAAGCGCUGGCAACCAGACUUGCGCGGGGUCGAUCAUCCGGUGUUCGCACCGGUGCACUCGGCCCCGCGCAGGCCAGCAUCGGUCUGGGCGGCUGGAUAAAGGCCUUGGGAAUGUGGCUCUCUUCGGGGAGUGUUAUAGCCCAAGGUGCAAUGCAGCCCGCCUGGACCGAGGACCGCGCUCCGGCUAGGAUGCUGGCGUAAUGGUUGUCAGCGACCCGUCUUGAAACACGGACCAAGGAGUCUAACAUCUAUGCGAGUGUUU
rnacentral:rRNA from 1 species